CGAGCCCGCGGUCGGGACCCUGGCGUGCAGCGCGGGCCUCGGCGGGGCCCAAGGCCCCGGCCCGGAAGGAUGCGGCCCUGGGCGGCCCGGGAGCUGAGCAGGGCCCCCGCGCCGACCCCCGCGGGCCCCGGCCUCCGGAGCCGCAGCUGCCGCCCGGCGCCCGAGAGACAUGACUUGCAAGCCGCGUUCCGACUGGAUUCCCUACAGUGUCUUAGAUGAUGAGGGCAGCAACCUGAGGCAGCAGAAGCUUGACCGGCAGCGGGACCAAUUUAAAAAAAAAGGAAGACAAACAAAAAAACAACAAUAUGGCAAGAAGUUAAUGACGAGUAUUUCAAUCUUUCCCUUUUCGGUUUUCAUCCAAGAAUCUUGACUGAACUGCAGUUGUGCACGGACGAAGGGAUCAUCCACUGACAGCAGGUGUAAGCAGCAUCUCCAGAGCAGCAGCCCACGAGGGGCUGGCAGCCCGCGAGCCAAAGCAGUUGGCCCAGAGUGUGGUGGGGCGUCCAGAGCUGAACUGAUAACAGCCUUCCUGUGAUACUCAGCCCGGAGAUCACGUUGGAAAGAGGUGGUCAUCAUGACUGGCUGUGUGUUCUCUCUUGACUGAUGGAGGAACCUGGAGGUCAAUUCAAAGAAAAAGAAUUGGAAAAUUAUUAACUAUCUUGAAAUUCAGCAAUAUACCUAUAGAAAAACCAAAUCUAAAAAAGUCAAUGCACCAAGAAGAGAACACAACAGAUGUUAAAUUAAAUAAAUAUUAUCAUAAGCAUUAACACUCAAAUGACUUGAGGUAGGAGAAGGAGUCAUCUUGCUUCUCUUAACUGCUGAACAUCCUCCUCUUAUUCUGAUGCAAGGAGAUGGAAACAUGUCCCACUACCAAAUCUGGAUGCCUGUACUUAAAUCACCAUGGUGCAAAGCAAGUACUUGAACAGAAAAACAACAGGGAAGCUAUCACACCUCCUUCCUACUCUAUCUCGGGGUUGAGUAUCACAGGAAGGCUGUUAUUGGUUCAGGCCUGGUCACUCCACCACUCUUUGGACCAAUAGCUGUGGCUCACGGGCUGCCAGUCCCUCCUCGGCUGCAUCAGUGGAGGGUGGGGCCUGAGCUCCUCUCACUGGAUACUCUCAUCAUCCAGUGAUGCAAAAUUGCAGGUCCUGAAGGUCUGAAGGUUCCUGCAAGGUCCUGAAGGUUCUAAAAAUCAAAAAAUUCUCGAUUGGGAAACAAUAAAUUGUAUGAAUCUGAAUGAAUUCCAGUAGUAAUUUCAGAAACCAGUGACUUAAAAAAGUGAAUUGUUUCUUGGA